GUAGAGUUCAAUUCAGCAAGAUUCACACUAUAAACUGUUGUAUGAUUGAUUUGAGAACGUUUUACAACCUGACAACACUUCGGCAACACUUCGUUGCACAAGCCGGAAAGUUACAAAUGAUGAAAGUUUGAAAGCUAUAUAUAGAUAGUGACCCUUCCGUUUGAAACUCUUCAAACGGACAGGACAUUUCAAACUAAACCCUAUUUCAAACUUUCAGCUGCUUCAAACUUUCAACUGCUUCAAACUUUCAGCUUCAAACUUUCAGCUUCAAGUGUAGUAAACCGAGACUUGAUAUAAGACGAAGACGAAAGACGGAUGCACUAACAUGGUUCUUAUGGAUGGAAGUCGUCAAGGUUUCAAGAUCCAUUAUGGAUGCAAUCUAAAGAAGGCGAAGUUCAAUAAAGAACCUUUAUUAGCAAAGUUUAGGCUUCUUAAACCUUUUUUAAAGCCAUUUCUUGGUCUUGAACGUCACAAAGGAUCAAUUUCUUCUGUUAGCAUCUAAUGGUCUAUGGGACCGUCUUAGCAACGAGGAAGUUGUUUAUAUUUUCUACAAUUAUCCACGAAGCGUUGUUCGUCUAGCAUUUAUACUCAUCCACCUUCUUAAUAAUCGUAACACCACGGGAACCGAUUGUUAGUUUAGUAGUAUUUACAUCUAUGUAUAAUUUACUAAGUUAAUAUUUAUGUCAGCGGUUAUAAUGAAGAUAUUUU